rnacentral:rRNA from 1 species
AUUGAACGCUGGCGGCAGGCCUAACACAUGCAAGUCGAACGAGUGGCGGACGGGUGAGUAAUGUCUGGGAACCUGCCUGAUGGAGGGGGAGAACUACUGGAACCGGUAGCUAAUACCGCAUACCAUCGGAUGUGCCAAGAUGGGAUUAGCUAGUAGGUGGGGUAAAGGCUAACCUAGGCGACGAUCCCUAGCUGGUCGGAGAGGAUGCCCGGCCACACUGGAACUGAGACACGGUCCAGACUCCUACGGGAGGCAGCAGUGGGGAAUAUUGCACAAUGGGCGAAAGCCUGAUGCAGCCAUGCCGCGUGUAUGAAGAAGGCCUUCGGGUUGUAAAGUACUGUCAGCGGGGAGGCGUUACCCGCAGAAGAAGCACCGGCUAACUCCGUGCCAGCAGCCGCGGUAAUUC